GUGGUAGGUCUGAAGCCUGCUUGAGAAUUAGUGGAGUGCAUUUGGCUUCCUGGUUCAUACUUUCCCCAAUGUCUGAAGUGGAGUUCAAAUUGUUUCAGGGGCUCAUGGUGUGCUCAGGCACAUCUCCUCUGAAUCAGGACCAAAUGCACUCCACCAGUUCUCAAGCAGGCUUCACAGCUACCACUGCAGAACCACAGGUCUUCCAAACUGCUGUCUGGACCAAGGGGACUUCUGAUCUGUCCUUCAGAACCAGGGGAGCUCAGACCCUCCCCAAUGGCCCAGGUAGCCCCAGUCUUAUCUGUCUAGAAACAAGGUAACUCACAACUUUCCCCAGUAACUCAGGGGAUUUUGGGUUUACCUCGUCAACAUCAAAAGCUUCAGCCAUUCCCCAGUGUUCAGGGGACAUUGACACAUCUUUCCUUUGAGAAGCAGAGGACAUCAGACAUUUACUAAUUGACAAGAGACAUUGACACACCUUUCCUUUGAGAACCAGAGGACCUCAGACAAUCAUUAAUUGACAAAUGGGCCUCAUACUUACCACUUCAGAACAAGGGUGUCAAACACAUUCUCAAUGACUGAAGGGGACCUUAGAUAUAUAACUUGAGAAGCAAGUGGCCACAGACCUCUUUAGUGUCCCAAGAAGGACACAAAUACAACCCCUAUAAAAUCAAUGUGCCAUAGAAUUUAUGCAAAGUCACAAUGGGGCUUCAGAAUUAUCCUUCCAGAACCAGGAGGAUUCAUACCUCCAGAUAAUAACUCCAUCGAGUAUUAGAUAUGCCCCCGGAGAAGAAACUAUCUCACUAAUUCAGGAGACUUACUUCUCACUGGAACAUCUUCUGAAGAGGGCCAUAGACUUAUUUCCUCCAACCAUAGAAGUCCCUGACUUUCAAGAUAUGCAAAAGCAGGGCUGCUGUAACACACCCUCUUUGAACAAGAAAACUUUAGACUUUGUCUGUCUGUACUGGAGGGGUCUGAGACAUGCCCCUUCGAUGAAGAAAGUUACAGAGCUGGCCCUGUGACUGAAGGGUGUGUCUCAAAUAUUUUCACUGCUGACAGGUACUUGAAACUGAGACCCCAUUACCAAGAAAACACAGGAGCUUCUCCUUGUGUUCCUGGCUGACUCUGGUCUACCAGACAUCUAAGAGAGACUAGAGCUUCUCUCUCAGACCUGAGUGACUAGGAAAUACACUCUUGACCACCAAAGGAACCUCAUGGAACGCUAGACUGAAAUCACAUGACAGAAGAAUAAAAACCUCACCCUGGACCCAAGGCCAUCUAUUUUCAAGCUGCUCACCAGAAAGAUGACUGUCCUCCACAUCCACACCUGUGCAGCUUAUCGUGAGUUUAAGUAGAGAACAGCCCCACCUGUCAGAAGAACCCUCUGGUUGCUGUCAAGCCUCAACAAGUCCUCAGAGAUAAGGAUUUUUCUAGAGUUCACUGAAGAUUUGGAGACUGACUAGGAGUGUCUAGACCCUCCUCCUCUAGAAAAGAUUCAGCUAAAGAUAUGAACAUCCUAACCUGUGGAGAAGAGUUAGAAGGCAAGGCAAUGCUGGCACCUUAUGAGAUUCUCUACAGAAACAGAGCAGUUCCAUCUUUGUUGCCCAUGCCUGUGCUGCUGAUGAAAGGCUUGUGGAGGAUGCAGAGCCAGGGAUUACCAACCAACCUAUAAGAAAAAUGCUCUGAGUGCUGGCAAGCAAGGCUCAGAGUCCAGAACACAAGGGUGUUCUGGAGUAUGAGGACGUUUGGACUUGAUAAGUCAGUGUAAUAUAUGGAUAAUGGAAGGUGAAAAGAGCAGUUGGAAACACAUGAUGUAAAACCACACCAUUCUCCCACCACCCAAGACACUAAAGUGAAGAGGUCGCGUUCUUCAUGUACACACCAAUAUAGCUGGUGAUAAGAGGACUUAGAGACUGAGAUUGCCAAUCAUGACUGAUAAUAAUGCUCAGAUUGCUGCCAGGCCUGCCACAGUGUGCCUGGAGAUGUGAAUCUUCUACACUGUGAUGGAGUCCUUCCUCCACUGCACAAGCCCGCAAAAGAUAUGGAUACCCGACCUUCCACAUGACCCACAAAAGAUAUGGAUAUUCUAAAUACUGAAAAAAAAAGUUGGAAGCUGACCGGGCAGUUCCAGGCAUUCCUCUGCUCCACAAGGGGGCCUCGGAUCUUCUCUUUCUGCCCAAGUUGUCUUCAAAUAUACCCUUCUGCUCAAGGAGGGCCUCACGUGGUUCUCUUCUGAUUCAGGGGCCUCGGACAUUCCCCACGCAAACAUGGGGUCCUAGAACAUUUUUUUCUUUCCCAAUGAAUUCUCCAGACCAACUAGUCUUAAAGUAUCAGAGCCCAAGAGUAGCAAGUACAGUCUAGAACCAAAGCCCACUGCCUUAAGGCAGAAAACAAUAUAAUGUGGCCUUCAUCAUUCAUACCUAGACCUGGGCAGCUGAACAUACUCUUGAGAAGGAGAACUAGCUUGAGACUAUCGCGCAGACUUUUGGACAAAAUCUCAGACUGCUGCCUGCCCUGCCACAUGUUCACUACGGUGGACAGAUGUUUGAGUCUCCAAAGAAGAGCUGGAAGCUGAUAAGGCAGUACCUGGAAUGUGCUCCACUGCUUGAGAUUUGAGGUCUCACAGCUCAACACUAGUAAGGAGACCCUGGAACAGUAGUCAUCAAUCUUCAUGGCAUUCAACAGAACAUCAGAAAUGGAGUGGUCCCAACUUUAGUGCCCAGACCUGGAUGGCUGAACACCAACCUGUGAGGCUGGAAAAGCCACAGACACCAGCCACACUCUUGGAACAAUGUUUAGAUUACUGCAUAUCCUCCUGAAGAUGCCACAGAUGAUAUGGUUACUUUGUUGUUGUUGUUUUGAUUGCUCUUGUUCUCUUCUUGGUGGUGUUGCUUUCUAUUGACUUUAGAAGAGGGACAUCUUGAUAUUUUCUUGUUAAGUUAAUCAUCUACUGGCAUUAAAAUCCAGAAACCAAGUGCUUAAACGCUACCCAUGUUCUACUCUAUUUGGGAAUCACAAUGUGUGCAUAUCUUCCAACCUUUUGUUUCAAAGACAUACUGCUAUGUAAUUCUAUUUUACAAAUGUAAUCAUUUUAAUCAAUAUUCACAUGAAUAUAUAUUUUAUGUGCAAAA